CGUUGCCUACGGGGCGCAGCAGUGGGGAAUAUUGCACAAUGGGGGAAACCCUGAUGCAGCGACGCCGCGUGAGCGAUGAAGUAUCUCGGUAUGUAAAGCUCUAUCAGCAGGGAAGAAAGUGACAGUACCUGACUAAGAAGCCCCGGCUAACUACGUGCCAGCAGCCGCGGUAAUACGUAGGUGACAAGCGUUGUCCGGAUUUACUGGGUGUAAAGGGCGCGUAGGCGGGAUAGCAAGUCAGUCGUGAAAUGCCGAGGCUUAACCUCGGAGCUGCGAUUGAAACUGUUAUUCUUGAGUAUCGGAGG
rnacentral:rRNA from 1 species